UAGUCUGGUGCCAGCAGCCGCGGUAAUACGGAGGAUGCAAGCGUUAUCCGGAAUCAUUGGGCGUAAAGCGUCCGCAGGUGGUUUCCAAAGUCUGCUGUUAAAGACUGGAGCUCAACUCCGGAACGGCGGUGGAAACUUGGAAACUAGAGUUCGGUAGGGGUAGCAGGAAUUCCCAGUGUAGCGGUGAAAUGCGUAGAUAUUGGGAAGAACAUCGGUGGCGAAGGCGUGCUACUGGACCGUAACUGACACUCAGGGACGAAAGCUAGGGGAGCGAAAGGGAUUAGAUACCCCUGUAGUCCUAGCUGUAAACGAUGGAAACUAGGUGUGGCUUGUAUCGACCCGAGCCGUGCCGUAGCUAACGCGUUAAGUUUCCCGCCUGGGGAGUACGCACGCAAGUGUGAAACUCAAAGGAAUUGACGGGGGCCCGCACAAGCGGUGGAGUAUGUGGUUUAAUUCGAUGCAACGCGAAGAACCUUACCAGGGCUUGACAUGUCGCGAAUCUCGGUGAAAGCUGAGAGUGCCUUCGGGAGCGCGAACACAGGUGGUGCAUGGCCGUUCUU
rnacentral:rRNA from 1 species